AGUGAACGCUGGCGGUAGGCCUAACACAUGCAAGUCGAACGGCAGCACAGUAAGAGCUUGCUCUGACGGGGGGCGAGUGGCGGACGGGUGAGGAAUACAUCGGAAUCUACUUUUUCGUGGGGGAUAACGUAGGUAAACUUACUCUAAUACCGCAUACGACCUACGGGUGAAAGCAGGGGAACUUCUGACCCGGCGGGUGUGAAUGAGCCGGUGGCGGAUUCGCUAGUUGGCGGGGGAGUGGCCCACCAAGGCGACGAUCGGUAGCCGGCCUGAGAGGGUGACCGGCCACAGUGGGACUGAGAUACGGCCCAGACGCCUACGGGAGGCAGCAGUGGGGAAUAGUGCACACUGGGCGGAAGCCUGAUGCAGCAACGCCGCGUGCGGGAUGACGGCCGUCGGGUUGUAAACCGCUUUCGCCUGUGACGAAGCGUGAGUGACGGUAAUGGGUAAAGAAGCACCGGCUAACUACGUG
rnacentral:rRNA from 1 species